UACAGAGGGGGCAAGCGUUAUUCGGAAUUAUUGGGCGUAAAGGGCGCGUAGGCGGCCUGGCAAGUGGAAGGUGAAAUCCCUCGGCUUAACCGAGGAACUGCCCUCCAAACUGCUUGGCUUGAGUCCGGGAGAGGUGAGUGGAAUUCCCAGUGUAGCGGUGAAAUGCGUAGAUAUUGGGAGGAACACCAGUGGCGAAGGCGGCUCACUGGCCCGGAUACGACGCUGAGGC
rnacentral:rRNA from 1 species